AUGUUUGACUGUAAUGUAAUGUUGAUACAUAUAUAUUUUUUCCUACUCAUAUUGUCACAUAACGUCAUAGCGCGUGUACCAUUUUAUGUACAUGGUAUAUGAUGGUUACAUAACUUGAUGGUGAACACUUGAAAAAAAAAACAUUUUAAGGCUUGUUUUACCACUUGUAUUUCUGUAACCAUAUUCAUAAUGUUUACAUUACGUCAUACCAACUGUUUCUAUUACCUGUACAUGGUUACUUGCAUGUACUUAGAGAUGUUGAACGCUUAAAGAGACUUCAAAUUUUAGACUUGUGUUGCUUGAAAAUUUAACCUACCGUUUAGUUAAAAUCAAGUCACAUUUAUUCUUUUUUAAAUGUAAAUUGGUAAGACAUCAUAAAGGUUUUAAUUCAUCUGGGUUUUUUUUUUCUAAUAAUAUGAUACAUUUAACUUGUCAUUUAUUUGUCCAGUUUGAUUAUACUGAAACUGUUUUCAACAACAGUAAAUGCUAUUUGGAGUGUCAUCAAAUCAAUUGACGGUUAUUCUUAAUUGACACAUGUAGAUUCAUUAGUAGUUUAAUUGGUUUUACUGGAGUCUUUUUUGUUCAAAAAUAUUGUUUACUUUUUUCACUGCAUUUGUUAAAUUAUGAGAGUAAAAUUAUGUAUAUUGUUUUCAUACUAAAGUGUGCUCUCUUUUUUAUGUCACUGUACAAAAUAUUUCCACUCUAUUUUUUUUUAAUUUAACGGCAUCAAAAUCCACAUUUGUAGUUUUUCAAUGUGCAUUUUCAUUCUUAGAUACUGAUUAAGUUUAUCAGUACUUUGAAUCUUUUAUUCAAUAUCUGUUUUUGCAAUGAAGAUGAUGUGUAUUCUUAAUAUUAAUAAAGUUUGAAUUAUUAAUUUGAUACAGUAACUAUAUUGUUGUGGAAUACAGAUGGAAAUAUACUCAGAAAUGUUGAAAUAGGAAACGUGUUUAAAUAAAUUGUGUAGG
rnacentral:sRNA from 1 species